CAGUCGCCGCGGUAAUACGUAGGUGGCAAGCGUUGUCCGGAAUUAUUGGGCGUAAAGGGCUCGUAGGCGGUUUCUUAAGUCUGAUGUGAAAGCCCCCGGCUCAACCGGGGAGGGUCAUUGGAAACUGUUAAACUUGAGUGCAGGAGAGAAAAGUGGAAUUCCUAGUGUAGCGGUGAAAUGCGUAGAGAUUAGGAGGAACACCAGUGGCGAAGGCGGCUUUUUGGCCUGUAACUGACACUGAGGCGCGAAAGCGUGGGGAGCAAACAGGAUUAGAUACCCCCGUAGUCCCUGUCUCUUAUAC
rnacentral:rRNA from 1 species